CAAAGACAAGCUAAUACCUCAACCAGCUCAAAGACAAGCUAAUACCAAUGCUCAUGUUAAUUCUACUGCAAAAAAUAUUCAUACUAGACAAAGACAAUGUGUUAAAUAAUCAAAUGCAGUUGUAAGAUUUCGUAAAGACCUUUUUAUUACAAGAGUUCGUACAUAACUCAGUCACAUACAUACAAAAAUUUCUGAAAAACCUAUUCGAUCAUUAUCUACUGAUCAAGCAGGCUGCUCCCCUUUCGGAUUCCCUUGCACGCUUACUUAUUCAGCUUGGACUGUCACAUUCAUUGAAAUCUGCAGCUAUUUAUCGUCACUUAUUCAAACUUGAGAUUGGAACGAAUGGGACAUUUCUUCAACUGUUUCAUUCUUCGCAGGGUUCAUCGAUGGAUCGCUUGAUUUUUCAUUUACAAUCCACCCCUAAAAUCCACAAUUGUUACUGCAGUAAAAAAAUAAUUUCCCAUUUUUUUUAGUCUCUUUUUUCACAACAAAAUAUUUUUCGAAUCCAUGCUUACAUAGUGUGCAAGGGCGUUCCCUUCUAUACUCAGCAAAGAAGUGAUCUUUAGCUCUACAACUAUGACAAGACUCCAGAGUUCCUAAUGGACAUACUAACAUGGAAUCCACCACCAACAACAAAGAUGAAGUCAGUAAUCUUAUUCGACUAGAUAAAGUCAGAGAAAAAUGUACAAAUACAAUCUAAAAGGUUUCUACUUAGGAUAAAGCAAGAUUAUGGGGAAGGAAUUGGGUUCAAGCUUACCAUCUUCAUUUCAAAUUUAGCUGAAUUAUGUACACAAAUCAAAUAUAUAUUUCAGGUAAAUAACAUCGUCCACAAGAAACGUAAUAAUUUGGCUUGUCGUGUCAAAGAACAUCAAAAUUAAAAUUGAGACCUCAAAACAGUUAACAAUGGCUUAUGAUUUCCUCUUAAAUAAAUUUACCUCCCUUAUAUUACACAGAACAAAUUAUCAUGCUACCUCUGUUUUCUCCUGAAGUAUCAAAUGGGGACUUGCUCAUAUGCAUAAACUACAAGAGGCUUCAAUGUUGAUGAGUAGUUAUCACUUAAAAAUCUAAGCUCCACUCCAAAUCGUAAUAAAAAAGAGAAAAAUUUAAUAAUACAAUUAAUCGCAGCUUAUUAAACACAAUAAAACCCUCCACUGAAAUCUGUCGAAUACUUCAUGUCAACCACCAACAAGAAAAUGAAGUCACCAAUCCACCAAUUCAAUAUUCAAUAUAGUUCGAAAUUUAGACACAAUUCAAUGUAGUUAAUAACCCACCAAUUCAUAUAGUUUCGAAAUUGAUUAAAUACUAAAUACCCCCUACUAAUCCGUCGAAAACCCCAACUAAACGCAUGACAGCUACAAGAAAAAUCACUUUAUGAAGAAAUAAAUAGCAUACUACCUGAGCAACACUGGAAAAAGAUUGACUUAUUUCGUUGGACGCCGAUACAGAGAACACGUCGACGGUUGGAGAGCCUGAGGGCUUUGACAACAACUGGAUAUGGUAGGUUGACCCACAAUGAAACGUUUGUCAAAGAUGGGCGUGUCAUUACUGCGGCUGGGAACGCGACCGGAGAUGGGGAGUUAUGCUUAGGAUUUGGAAUUUGGGGCUUCCGUUUUGGUUUUGGCUCGUGGAGAGAGAGAGAGAGAGACUGUGCGUGUGUGCUGGGCAAAAAUGCAUUUGUUUUAUUUGGUUAAAAGUCCACGUCAGCCUUUUUUGAUCUGUUUUUUG
rnacentral:lncRNA from 1 species